UACGGAGGAUGCAAGCAUUAUUCGGAAUGAUUGGGCGUAAAGCGUCCGCAGGCGGCUAUGUAAGUCUGCUGUUAAAGAGUGAGGCUCAACCUCAUAAAAGCAGUGGAAACUACAUGGCUAGAGUGCGUUCGGGGCAGAGGGAAUUCCUGGUGUAGCGGUGAAAUGCGUAGAUAUCAGGAAGAACACCAGUGGCGAAAGCGCUCUGCUGGGCCGCAACUGACACUGAGGGACGAAAGCUAGGGGAGCAAAUGGG
rnacentral:rRNA from 1 species